GACGAACGCUGGCGGCGUGCUUAACACAUGCAAGUCGAACGGAAAGGCCCUGCUUUUGUGGGGUGCUCGAGUGGCGAACGGGUGAGUAACACGUGAGUAACCUGCCCUUGACUUUGGGAUAACUUCAGGAAACUGGGGCUAAUACCGGAUAGGAGCUCCUGCUGCAUGGUGGGGGUUGGAAAGUUUCGGCGGUUGGGGAUGGACUCGCGGCUUAUCAGCUUGUUGGUGGGGUAGUGGCUUACCAAGGCUUUGACGGGUAGCCGGCCUGAGAGGGUGACCGGCAAGAGGGGUAGUGAUAUAAGCACGAGACGCCGACGGGAGGCGGAAGGGGGGAAGAGGGAAAAAGGGGGGGAAGCUGGAUGAACCAACGCCGCGUGGGGGAUGAGGGCCGGAGGGUUGGAGACCGAUGUAGCCGGUGACGAAGCGGGAGUGAGGGGAAGGGGUAAAGACGAAAAGGCUAAGUAAGGG
rnacentral:rRNA from 1 species